UACAGAGGGGGCAAGCGUUGUUCGAAAUUACUGGGCGUAAAGGGCGCGUAGGCGGCCUGUUAAGUCGAACGUGAAAUCCCCGGGCUCAACCCGGGAACUGCGUCCGAUACUGGCAGGCUUGAAUCCGGGAGAGGGAUGCGGAAUUCCAGGUGUAGCGGUGAAAUGCGUAGAUAUCUGGAGGAACACCGGUGGCGAAGGCGGCAUCCUGGACCGGCAUUGACGCUGAGGCGCGAAAGCCAGGGGAGCAAACGGG
rnacentral:rRNA from 1 species